GACGAACGCUGGCGGCGUGCUUAAUACAUGCAAGUCGAGCGGACAAAGAGGAGUUUGCUCCUCGAUGUUAGCGGCGAACGGGUGAGUAACACGUGGGCAACCUGCCUGUAAGACUGGGAUAACUUCGGGAAACCGGAGCUAAUACCGGAUAAUGCCUUUGAACUCAUGGUCGAAAGCUGAAAGAUGGUUUCGGCGGUGACUGACAGAUGGGCUCGCGGCGCAUUAGCUGGUUGGUGGGGUAACGGCUCUCCAAGGCAACGAUGCGUAGCCGAACUGAGAGGGUGAUCGCCCACAUGGGGACUGAGACACGCCCCAGACUCCUGCGGGAGGCAGCAGUCGGGUAUCUUCUGCAAUGGGCGAGAGUCUGGCAGAGCGGCGCCGAGUGAGUGGUGAAGGUUCUCGGUGCGUAAAACUCGGUUGUGAGUGAAAAACCGCUACCGGCGUUACUGCCGCGUGCGUGACGGUACCUGAUCAGAAAGCCACGGCUAACUACGUG
rnacentral:rRNA from 1 species